GAUGAACGCUGGCGGCGUGCCUAAUACAUGCAAGUCGAGCGAACAGACGAGGAGCUUGCUCCUCUGACGUUAGCGGCGGACGGGUGAGUAACACGUGGAUAACCUACCUAUAAGACUGGGAUAGCUUCGGGAAACCGGAGCUAAUACCGGAUAAUAUAUUGAACCGCAUGGUUCAAUAGUGAAAGACGGUUUUGCUGUCACUUAUAGAUGGAUCCGCGCCGCAUUAGCUAGUUGGUAAGGUAACGGCUUACCAAGGCAACGAUGCGUAGCCGACCUGAGAGGGUGAUCGGCCACACUGGAACUGAGACACGGUCCAGACUCCUACGGGAGGCACCAGUAGGGAAUCUUCCGCAAUGGGCGAAAGCCUGACGGAGCAACGCCGCGUGAGUGAUGAAGGUCUUCGGAUCGUAAAACUCUGUUAUUAGGGAAGAACAAAUGUGUAAGUAACUAUGCACGUCUUGACGGUACCUAAUCAGAAAGCCACGGCUAACUACGUG
rnacentral:rRNA from 1 species